AUCCAGCUGACGAGUCCCAAAAAUAGGACGAAACGUGCGUCAAACUAGAU
rnacentral:hammerhead_ribozyme from 1 species